ACGGAAGGCAGCAGUGAGGAAUAUUGGUCAAUGGGCGGAAGCCUGAACCAGCCAAGUCGCGUGAAGGAUGAAGGUUCUAUGGAUUGUAAACUUCUUUUAUUCGAGGGUAAAGUGAGUCACGUGUGGUUCAUUGCAAGUAUCGAAUGAAUAAGCAUCGGCUAACUCCGUGCCAGCAGCCGCGGUAAUACGGAGGAUGCGAGCGUUAUCCGGAUUUAUUGGGUUUAAAGGGUGCGUAGGCGGGACGUUAAGUCAGUGGUAAAAGCGUGUGGCUCAACCAUACCAAGCCAUUGAAACUGUCGUUCUUGAGUGUAAACGAGGUAGGCGGAAUGUGACGUGUAGCGGUGAAAUGCUUAGAUAUGUCACAGAACCCCGAUUGCGAAGGCAGCUUACCAGCAUACAACUGACGCUGAGGCACGAAAGCGUGGGUAUCAAACAGGAUUAGAUACCCUGGUA
rnacentral:rRNA from 1 species